ACACAAAACACACUUGUGCAUUAAUUCUGAAAAGACAAAGAUUUUUUUUGAAAACCUUCAAUGUUUUGCAACAAACCAGAGUUUCCAUCUGUUUAAUGUUUAUAUUUCUCUCACUCGUUCUUUCAUCUUCCUAACAUUCUCUCUUUAAUUGGUUUUCAAUCUCAGAUUUUACAUGAUCUCUUCUUCUUGUUUUUCGAAUUCUUUUUGUUUUCCUCUCUUCUUGUUCUCUGUUUAUUUAAGAAAAAACUCAGAUCUAAACAAAUUUGAAUUCCAUGGCUAACCAGAGUUGGAGAUGGCAGAGGAAGAGGCGACAUGUCUCUGAGGCGGUGAUGGUAUCAGAGCUAAGCAAAUUUGGAUUUCAUGGCUAACUAGAGGCGACAGAAGUCUCAGAGCUAAGCAAAUCUGAUCUGAGAAAAUAAUGAUAAAACGGGAAGGAGAAAUGGUGGUGUGACGUCAAGCGUGGUGCGGUGAUGAGAAUCUGAAGUUAAGAAGUUAGAGAAGAAGAUAUGUCGGAGAAGAAGAAGAUGAGGCGGAGAAGUAUGGUUCCAAGCUCGCCGUUGUCGUUACUUAUCUCGAGUAUCGACUUCAGCUCUCCCUUUCGGUGAUGCAAGGGAGCUUGAGUGCGGUGGAGGAAGCUGAAGAGGCUCGAUGGCUGUAGUGGUUGAAGGCGGCAUUGUUAGGGGUUCCUCUUUAAUCCAAAGAGAAAUGAUGACGGCAAAGAUUAAUGACCGGAUAAUCUUUUUGUUAACCGUAAAUUUGCUAACUUUGAUCUACCGAAGCUAGCUUUGAUCUAAGUCGAAUAUUUUUGCUAACUGCAAAUUUGUUGAGCAUGUUAAUGUUUAGUAAUUCAUAAACACUACAAAAAAAAAGUCUACAUUGAUAGCAAAUUGUUAUAGCACGUUAUACUGGUCGUAGAUGAUUUAAAUAUUUCUGUAUUAUAUUAUAGCAUUAGAUAAACUCUAUGGUAGAGUGAAACCUAAAAUAGCACUUAAUUAAUAUUAUUUUAAAAAUUAAGCGAGCGGAAAUAUAAAGUCACAGAUACCGCCAACACUUAGCGAAAAAUUAGAUUUAAGCGCCAAAGAUAUUUUUUAACUGGUUUCAACAAUGCUAUCAAAGACAUAUAAUAUCAUUUUUAUAAUGAUAAGAAAAGCUCUUUGAACCCCUAAACUCUAAAUAUGAUUUUAAACUCUAAACAUUGUUUUAAACCCUAAACUUUAAAGACAACCUUUAAACCUCUAAUCUUUUCAUGCUAUAACUUCAAAUCUUAAAAUUAAAAUCAAAAUUUAAUCUUUUUAAUCUUAAUCUAUAAUUUCCUAAACACAUAUCUUUAAUCUUUAAUCAAACUCUAUAUCUUAAAUCUUAACUUCAAACGUAAACUAAACAUUCAAUAUUCUAAAUAUAAACUUCAAAUCUAAAUUAUUAAAUAUUUAACUACAAAUCUUCUAGUAUUCAAAUCUAUUAUUUUCCAAUCUUAAUCCAAAACACUAAAUUUUAACCCUAAACCUCAUAUUACAACAUCAACACCUUAAAUCAUAAAACUAAAUUUUACUCUUAAUCAUAUUUUUUUUUGUAAAUCAUAAAAUAUAAAUUUGAAACUUUUCAAAUUUUGAAUCAAACAUACAAAUUUAUAAACGAAUUAUAAAUCAGAUUUUUUAUAAACAUGCAAAUUUAAAAAUGAUGACCAAAAUCAUAAUGUUAAUAUUAAUCUAAUAUUUUCAAACUUAAACAUCAAUUCAUAAAAUAAAUAUCAGUUUAUUAGGUUAAAAAAAUAAAAAUUUAGACUUAAAUUAUAAACUACAAAAUAUUAAUUUUGAAAUAAGAUAUAACUAAUAAAAAUCACUUACAAAACAAAUUAUCAAAUAUGGAAAGACAAAACAAAAAAUAAAAGUAGAAAAACAGAAACAAAAUUGUCUGGCCAAUCAGAUUAAAAUACAUGGAUCACACUUUUGAACCGUUAGAUUAACUUAGAUCUAAAGGUUAAGAUUUCUUCCUUUUAAUUUUUAUUUUCUCUUCUCCCUCUCUCUCUCACUCUCAACUCCGCUACAGAGAUCUGGGCGCAUGUUCUUCUCCUUCAUUCUCAUCUCUCCCAUCACUCUCCAAGCUUACUGUUUCUCUCAUCUCUCCUAUCUCUCUCCACGCCUCUCUCAUCUCUCUCAUCUCUCCCAUCUCUCUCCCACCGCGUCUCCUCCUCGUCUCACCACCACCACCAGGGUCGCCCUCUCUCCACCACCAGGUUCGCCCGCUCACCACCACCACGGUCGCCCUCCCACCACCACCACGAUAGUUGGGGAGGCAAGGUUCAUGGUGGCUGGAGGAGGCAUGGUCCAUGGCGGCUUGAGGACGGAAGUCUCGUGGCGGCUGGAGGAGGCAAGGCUCAUGGCUGUUGGAAGAGGGGCAAGCCUAUGGAGGAGGCGGCUGCAGCCUUUUUUUUUUUUUUUAGGUUUAGAUUUGGUUUAGUGUAACUCUGGUUAGAGAAAUUGUAGUGGUCUGAGUUUAUGUUAUAAUUUCUGGUUAGUUUUGUAAACCAGGAUUAAUUUGUAAACCAAUUUUAAUAUAUAAAUAAAAUUUAUUUUAAUUUCAAUAUAAAACAAUUUUCAAUUUAAUAUUAAAUUAUUUUAUUUCGAAUUAUAAUUAAUUUUUGUUAAUUGCAGUAAGAUCUAUCAUAGCACGAAUAUAUAAAUCGUAAUCAAUUUGUAACAAAAAAAUAGUGUUAUAUUUAAGU